rnacentral:rRNA from 1 species
CCUACGGGAGGCAGCAGUGGGGAAUAUUGGGCAAUGGGCGCAAGCCUGACCCAGCAACGCCGCGUGAAGGAAGAAGGCCCUCGGGUUGUAAACCUCUUUUAUCAGGGACGAAGCUAGUGACGGUACCUGAUGAAUAAGCCACGGCUAACUACGUGCCAGCAGCCGCCGUAAUACGUAGGGGGCAAGCGUUAUCCGGAUUUACUGGGUGUAAAGGGCGUGUAGGCGGGAGUGCAAGUCAGAUGUGAAAACUAUGGGCUCAACCCAGAGCCUGCAUUUGAAACUGUACGUCUUGAGUGCUGGAGAGGCAAUCGGAAUUCCGGGUGUAGCGGUGAAAUGCGUAGAUAUCCGGAGGAACACCGGUGGCGAAGGCGGAUUGCUGGACAGUAACUGACGCUGAGGCGCGAAAGCGUGGGGAGCAAACAGGAUUAGAUACCCGAGUAGUC